CUAUUUCUCUCUAUAUGUUUUGUUUGGCCUGUAAGUUAUACGACCAUCUAUUCCUGAAUAUGCACGCUAUUAUUAGUGGAUUGAAUGAAAAAAGCAAUAUACACGACGAUUACUUCGAAUUAAUUAACAGUAUUUCAUCAGAAAACAACUCGAAUGCCGAAAUGUUAACCUUGCUGAGCUAUGUUUUCCUUAGCUCCCAUGGGUUAUUUAGUCUCAAUCCUGAAAAUUUAAUACCUUGGAGAUUACAUUUUAACUAUUGGAAAAUUUUGAUUGGCCGCCUAUUGGCUAACGAAGACAGUCAUAUAAGACACGUGAGCUCAUUGACAAUCACUAAGAUUUGUGCACGGGUUUAUCGGUCCGAAGCUUUACCCACUAUUUGUAAAGAAUAUCCUUAUCAUUGCUCGGAGUAACCGAUCUCAGGAAUGUCAUCAUUGCAUUGCCCAUAUCACAUAAAGGAACUAAUGCUAAGCCGCUCAUCAUGACACAAAAGAAGCUUAGAGUUUCAUCGGUUCUGUAUUGGCUUUUCAGACCUAGCAAUUUUUCUAUAGGUGAUAUAAAUGAAAAGGCUUAUUUUUUCGAUAUAGGAUAUAAUCCAGGAUCUACCAUAUACCUCGCAUUUCUCUUAUUAAAGAAAGAAUUAGGCAUACAAAAUCCAACAGCUUUUUUUACAGAAAUCAAGAAAUGGUAUAUGGAUCUCAACUAUAAUUUAGAAUUUCAAGAAAUAAAAGACGGGACGCGAUGCGAAAAUAAUAUGAUCAUUUCAAACCUGUUUAUAAUUGUAAAAGAGCUUCCAACAUAUGUACAUAAUAUUAAAGAUAAUACUAUAAUUAACGACGCUGAUAAGACAUGUCAUAUGUGUAUAGAUAUUAUUAAAUUAAGAAGAUUUAUAGAAAAGCGUCAUACUUAUAUAAAUUUAUACAUCGAUUUAUUUAGUUUAAUAUAAUUUAUACCUUUCCGUUACAACUCCUAAUACUCAAAUGAUGAUUUUUUUCAAAUAAAAUAUAAAA